GGGGCUAUAGCUCAGGGGCAGAGCGCUUGCCUAGCAUGCAUGAGGCACUGAGUUUGAUCUUUAGCACCA
rnacentral:tRNA from 1 species